ACUCCUACGGGAGGCAGCAGUGGGGAAUAUUGCACAAUGGGCGCAAGCCUGAUGCAGCAACGCCGUGUGAGUGAAGAAGGUUUUCGGAUCGUAAAACUCUGUCCUAAGGGAAGAAACAAAUGACGGUACCUUAGGAGGAAGCCCCGGCUAACUACGUGCCAGCAGCCGCGGUAAUACGUAGGGGGCAAGCGUUAUCCGGAAUCACUGGGACGUAAAGGGUGCGUAGGCGGCUUAGCAAGCCAGGGGUGAAAGGCAUUGGCUCAACCAAUGUAAGCCUUUGGAACUGUUAAGCUUGAGUGCAGGAGAGGUAAGUGGAAUUCCUAGUGUAGAGGUGAAAUUCGUAGAUAUUAGGAGGAACACCAGUGGCGAAGGCGACUUACUGGACUGUAACUGACGCUGAUGCACGAAAGCGU
rnacentral:rRNA from 1 species